rnacentral:tRNA from 1 species
UAGCCUAGUGGUUAAGGCUAUGGAUCGACAAUCCAGAGACGGCGGGUUCGAUUCCCGU